rnacentral:misc_RNA from 1 species
UCCAUAGAUUCAAAUUAUGCACUGCAUAAAAUUCAAGUUUGCAUUUAAAUCUACAACCCAUUCAACAGCAUAUCAAGGACUGACCCAUGUAGCAAGUGCCAAAAAAAGAUAACAUCAUCAACAAAAAGAUUCUCCAAAGAGGUCAAAUUCCUAAUUAGUUUUUCAAUACACAUGCAUAUUCUACUCAUUUUUUGAGGAAAAUAGGUAACAAAUAUUUCAUAAAUAAAAAAUAGACACAAACAAAUUCUAAAUGAAUCAGAUCUACAAAUAAAUCAUGAACAGAUAACCUCAUUAAAGUCAAAAUAGAGAGAGGAAACUUACAGAGAGCUCAAGAAAAAAAAAUGAAAGAGAGGUAGAUGUACAAAGAUGGUGGAGCUGCCUAGAG